CGGCCGCGGUAUCCUAACCGUGCGAAGGUAGCGUAAUCACUUGUUUUUUAAAUAGAGACUAGUAUGAAAGGCAUCACGAGGAUAAAACUGUCUCCUUUUUCCAAUCAGUUAAACUAAUCUUCCCGUGAAGAAGCGGGAAUAAACAUAUAAGACGAGAAGACCCUAUGGAGCUUUAAACACAUGGCACUUGUCCUUUAAUUCUACUCCCCGGAUCCUAAGCACUUGACAUUCUGACCAAAAGUUUUCGGUUGGGGCGACCACGGAGAAAAACUCAACCUCCGUGUUGUAUAAAUUUUUUUAACCUAAAGCUACUCCUUUAAGUAUCAAUAAAUUGACAUCUAUUGACCCACCUUUGUGAUCAACGAACCAAGUUACCCUAGGGAUAACAGCGCAAUCCACUUUGAGAGCUCAUAUCGACAAGUGGGUUUACGACCUCGAUG
rnacentral:rRNA from 1 species